rnacentral:rRNA from 1 species
UGAUUUUAGUGCUUGCACUAAAUGAAACUAGAUACAAGCGAGCGGCGGACGGGUGAGUAACACGUGGGUAACCCGCCCAAGAGACUGGGAUAACACCUGGAAACAGACGCUAAUACCGGAUAACAACACUAGACGCAUGUCUAGAGUUUGAAAGAUGGUUCUGCUAUCACUCUUGGAUGGACCUGCGGUGCAUUAGCUAGUUGGUAAGGUAACGGCUUACCAAGGCAAUGAUGCAUAGCCGAGUUGAGAGACUGAUCGGCCACAUUGGGACUGAGACACGGCCCAAACUCCUACGGGAGGCAGCAGUAGGGAAUCUUCCACAAUGGACGAAAGUCUGAUGGAGCAACGCCGCGUGAGUGAAGAAGGGUUUCGGCUCGUAAAGCUCUGUUGGUAGUGAAGAAAGAUAGAGGUAGUAACUGGCCUUUAUUUGACGGUAAUUACUUAGAAAGUCACGGCUAACUACGUGCCAGCAGCCGCGGUAAUACGUAGGUGGCAAGCGUUGUCCGGAUUUAUUGGGCGUAAAGCGAGUGCAGGCGGUUCAAUAAGUCUGAUGUGAAAGCCUUCGGCUCAACCGGAGAAUUGCAUCAGAAACUGUUGAACUUGAGUGCAGAAGAGGAGAGUGGAACUCCAUGUGUAGCGGUGGAAUGCGUAGAUAUAUGGAAGAACACCAGUGGCGAAGGCGGCUCUCUGGUCUGCAACUGACGCUGAGGCUCGAAAGCAUGGGUAGCGAACAGGAUUAGAUACCCUGGUAGUCCAUGCCGUAAAC